CCCCCCUUCUUUCCUGCUUUUCUUUCUCUCUCAUAUAUAAAGAGAGAGAAAGAAAAGCAGGAAAGAAGGGGGGA